UGGCAAGAUGGUCGCGAAACUUCC
rnacentral:miRNA from 1 species